rnacentral:rRNA from 1 species
UACGGAGGAUCCAAGCGUUAUCCGGAUUUAUUGGGUUUAAAGGGAGCGUAGGCGGUCUUAUAAGUCAGUGGUGAAAUCUCCUCGCUUAACGAGGAAACUGCCAUUGAUACUGUAGGACUUGAGUAUAGUUGCUGUGGGCGGAAUAUGACAUGUAGUGGUGAAAUACUUAGAGAUGUCAUAGAACACCGAUUGCGAAGGCAGCUCACAAAACUAUAACUGACGCUGAGGCGCGAAAGUGCGGGGAGCAAACAGG